rnacentral:rRNA from 1 species
GAUGAACGCUGGCGGCGUGCUUAACACAUGCAAGUCGAACGGUGAAGCAGGAGCUUGCUCCUGUGGAUCAGUGGCGAACGGGUGAGUAACACGUGAGCAAUCUGCCCUGGACUCUGGGAUAAGCGUUGGAAACGACGUCUAAUACCGGAUACGAGGCGUGGGGGCAUCCCCAACGCCUGGAAAGAACUUCGGUCCAGGAUGAGCUCGCGGCCUAUCAGGUAGGUGGUGGGGUAACGGCUCACCAAGCCUACGACGGGUAGCCGGCCUGAGAGGGUGACCGGCCACACGGGGACUGCGAAACGGCCCAGACUCCUACGGGAGGCAGCAGUGGGGAAUAUUGCACAAUGGGCGCAAGCCUGAUGCAGCAACGCCGCGUGAGGGACGACGGCCUUCGGGUUGUAAACCUCUUUUCUGGGGGACGAGACAAGGACGGUACCUCAGGAAUAGGUCUCGGCUAACUACGUGCCAGCCGCCGCCGUAAAAC